AUGGGGCUGCUUUAAUGUGAAGCGAGAUCCAGGCAGAGGAUGCUCCGAAUGCAGCUCAGACAAAAGUGUGCUUCAGCCACACAAACGCAGAGCACAGUCUUUGCCGUGUCCCAGAAGCAUCUGGAGCAAAACCAUGGCAAUACGAUGUACCCUCGCAAAAUGACUUAGGUGAAAGCAGUGGAAAAAGCUGGUUACUCCAUCUCCCAGGCCUUUCUCACCCCUUUGGAAAUUUCCACCGAAGCCCACCAGGGACAAGCCGUGAGCCCGCAGGGCUGUAGAGGAUGCCCUGAGAACGUGGGGACACAUGGGAAAGCUCCGUGCACCCCCUGGGAAAGGUGAGCAUCCCUCGAUGUAUUCUCUAUGGGAACGCCUGGG
ensembl:lncRNA